rnacentral:lncRNA from 1 species
CAAGUUGGACAGCAAGCACAUCCAAGCACUUUCCUUCCCUUCCUUUGCUACGGCACAAGGUGUUGGGUCAAUAUUUAAAGGUUUGUUUGUACGGAGGAAUGGAUGUGAAGAUGAAUGGAUGUGUUUGGAUGAAGGUUGUGUUGAAAUGGGAGUGAAUGAUCUAACCAAGUAUGAACUAAAUUUAUGUUACACAAACUUCCUUUUAUAGAGGAA